CCCGCAACGAGCGCAACCCUCGCCUUUAGUUGCCAUCAUUUGGUUGGGCACUCUAGAGGGACUGCCGGUGAUAAGCCGGAGGAAGGUGGGGAUGACGUCAGGUCAUCAUGGCCCUUACGGCCAGGGCUACACACGUGCUACAAUGGCGCGCACAGAGGGCUGCGAACUCGCGAGAGUAAGCCAAUCCCUUAAAACGCGUCGUAGUCCGGAUCGCAGUCUGC
rnacentral:rRNA from 1 species